rnacentral:tRNA from 1 species
UGCUCCGAUAGUGUAGCUCGGCCAAUCAUGCGGGGCUCUCAAUCCCGCGACUCGGGUUCAAAUCCCGGUCGGAGCAU